CGCGGGAACGUCCCGCAGAUGUUUUCCUAACCGAGGUGCUUUCCUGUUGCAGAUCGGGGCAGGUUGAUUGGCGGCUUGCCUGACGUGGUGACCAUCAUGGAGGGGAAGACCUUGAAUCUAACCUGCACGGUGUUUGGAAACCCUGACCCCGAAGUGGUUUGGUUCAAGAACGACCAGGACAUCCAGCUCAGUGAGCACUUCUCAGUGAAGG
rnacentral:sRNA from 1 species